rnacentral:rRNA from 1 species
GAGUUUGAUCAUGGCUCAGGACGAUCGCUGACGGCGUGCUUAACACAUGCAAGUCGAACGAUGAAGCCUAGCUUGCUAGGUGGAUUAGUGGCGAACGGGUGAGUAAUACGUGAGUGACCUACCUUUGACUCUGGGAUAAGCCUGGGAAACUGGGUCUAAUACCGGAUACGACCAAUCUCCGCAUGGGGUGUUGGUGGAAAGCGUUAUGGAGUGGUUUUAGAUGGGCUCACGGCCUAUCAGCUUGUUGGUGAGGUAAUGGCUUACCAAGGCGACGACGGGUAGCCGGCCUGAGAGGGUGACCGGCCACACUGGGACUGAGACACGGCCCAGACUCCUACGGGAGGCAGCAGUGGGGAAUAUUGCACAAUGGGCGCAAGCCUGAUGCAGCGACGCCGCGUGAGGGAUGACGGCCUUCGGGUUGUAAACCUCUGUUAGCAUCGAAGAAGCGAAAGUGACGGUAGGUGCAGAGAAAGCGCCGGCUAACUACGUGCCAGCAGCCGCGGUAAUACGUAGGGCGCGAGCGUUGUCCGGAUUAUNGGGCGUAAAGAGCUUGUAGGCGGUUGGUCGCGUCUGCUGUGAAAGGCUGGGGCUUAACCCUGGUUUUGCAGUGGGUACGGGCUAACUAGAGUGCAGUAGGGGAGACUGGAAUUCCUGGUGUAGCGGUGGAAUGCGCAGAUAUCAGGAGGAACACCGAUGGCGAAGGCAGGUCUCUGGGCUGUAACUGACGCUGAGAAGCGAAAGCAUGGGGAGCGAACAGGAUUAGAUACCCUGGUAGUCCAUGCCGUAAACGUUGGGCACUAGGUGUAGGGGACAUUCCACGUUUUCCGCGCCGUAGCUAACGCAUUAAGUGCCCCGCCUGGGGAGUACGGCCGCAAGGCUAAAACUCAAAGAAAUUGACGGGGGCCCGCACAAGCGGCGGAGCAUGCGGAUUAAUUCGAUGCAACGCGAAGAACCUUACCAAGGCUUGACAUAUACUGGACUGCGUCAGAGAUGGCGUUUCCCUUCGGGGCUGGUAUACAGGUGGUGCAUGGUUGUCGUCAGCUCGUGUCGUGAGAUGUUGGGUUAAGUCCCGCAACGAGCGCAACCCUCGUUCUAUGUUGCCAGCACGUGAUGGUGGGGACUCAUAGGAGACUGCCGGGGUCAACUCGGAGGAAGGUGGGGAUGACGUCAAAUCAUCAUGCCCCUUAUGUCUUGGGCUUCACGCAUGCUACAAUGGCCGGUACAGAGGGUUGCGAUACUGUGAGGUGGAGCUAAUCCCUAAAAGCCGGUCUCAGUUCGGAUUGGGGUCUGCAACUCGACCCCAUGAAGUCGGAGUCGCUAGUAAUCGCAGAUCAGCAACGCUGCGGUGAAUACGUUCCCGGGCCCUUGCACACACCGCCCGUC